rnacentral:lncRNA from 1 species
CACUGAUCCUAAUCCUCUCACUUUAACUGGGUAUAACCACACGAAUCUACUCGGUCUCAAUCUUGUGAUGGAUAAUAUUAAGGAUAUGGUGGAAUGGUUCUUUUAUAUUUGCUCACACUCACAGUGAUGUAUUUUAUGGUGUCAAAGAUUGCAGUUAGUGGUAGUAACAAGCAUUUGAUAAAUGGGAAGCUUGCACAACCUAGUCAAGUCCAGAAUCUUUUCCACUCUGUGCAGCUUAAUAAUGUCAACAAUCCACACUUUCUCAUCAUGCAAGGUAGAAUCACCAAAGUCUUAAACAUGAAACCUCCCGAGAUACUGUGGGUGCUGGAACAAGAAUGUAUGAAAACAAGAAAGAAAGAAUGUUCAACAGUAGAGGAAGAAGAAGAAGAAGAUGAGACAUGGAGGAGCGAGAUAGUAACAAGGGUGAUGAGAAUCGUGAGCAAGAGAUUGAUCUUUUUUACUCUGCUACCUUGAUGGUCUUAAGGUUCGUGUUUCCUUUGGAAGUAGUCUUUAUCAGAUGACAGCAGAGGGCAAAGUAAGUGUUGCUUCUCUUCAAACCGGCGCCUCCUUUAUAUAUUACAUUCACCUCUGCUUUUUCAUUCUCAGAUUGAUUUGUCAAAAGUUGUCGGUAAUGUAUCUUUCGUAAAAAACUGAUCCGUGUUACAAUCAAUGAUUUUGAAUUAUUCAGGUUGAUGCAGCUCUUGAUCCAAGUCACACACACAACAUAGGAAGAAGCUCAUUUCCCUCACUCGCAGGUCAAAAUAUCUAUCUCAAGCUCGGACAGUAACAAAGCCGACCAAGUGAUCGAUCGGCUUCAUACCUCAAUCGAAUCAUAUAUAAUCGAUUAAUAUACAGUAAUUCCAAAAACUAUUCAUCUAUGUGUGGCAUGCUUAAUAUUUUUGACCAUACAUAUAGAAAAAAAAAGAGAAGUAGGAAAAAAGGUCUAAAUAGAAGUAAAAAAGAGUCUAAAAUAACACCAAUAAUCUAUGGCUAAUCCUUAGAUAAUGGUAAUAUGCUUGAACUUGGAUUGGAUUUACUAAGUGCUUCCUCGAUAUCCUCAUGAUAGUCCGGACAGUGGUUGCAUGUGCAUAUGCAGUUCUUGGCUUCCGACGAAGAUCUAUGUUCCUCAAUUAAACCUAGUUUAAAAAUUAGGUAUAGAAGAGCCAAUAGGAUUAAGUAGAAUAUACCGCCGAUCACAAAAAGAGCAACCUCCAGCAAUCCCCACGCCAUUGAAGGAAAUUAUUUAAUGGGAAAAUAAAGAAACGUAAAAUCUUCCAUUAGGCUGUGUAUUAUAUAUAUAUAUAUAUAUAUAUAUAUACUCGAGGAUUCAUUGGGUCAGAGAUUAUUUAGGAUCAGGAUACCUAUGAAUAUUCCACAAGAGUCUUGGAUUAUAUUUAUAUAUAUAAAUUCGUCAUUUAUCUUUAUAAAAUAAAGUAAAAGUUUUUUUUCUCCUAAGGAUAACACAACAAAGAUAUAUACGGUAUUUUCACAUAUGUCACAAGAUAGAUUUUGUAUCCUCUUUCGUGUUUCGAUAUAUCUUCAUAACACAAUACUAAAAAAGAUUUGCAUAUUGAUGGGAUGAACUUAAAGGAUUCUCGGAGAUCGUUAUGCGUAUCGGCUUGGAGAAUCGAAGCAAGGGUGCUCGAAUGAUAUAAGAUUUAUCGAUCAAAGACAAGUCAUACGUUGUGACUAGAUGAUGAAGAAAUAUAGCCAUCCCAAGCCUAGCAAACUCUGCUCCUGCACAUAGUCUUGCACCACCACCAAACGCCAUGAACGUUUUAGAGCCACAAAGCAAUUCCUUCCCCUCCCAUCUCCAUGGAUUAAACUCACAUGGUUGUUCAUAGAUUUGAGGGUCAUAAUGAAGAAGAGAUGGAACAACCAAUACAAUCCAUCCUGCUGGAAUUGUAUACCCUGCAACCACAACACGAUUUUGAAUUAGAUCAUUGGUAACAAACUUAUAGUUAUUUUCAUGACGCAAAAGAGAGACUCAAACUUGCCUUUGAUCUCCACAUCACUCACCACCUUUCUAAACAUAGCAGGUGACAAACUCCCUAAACAAAGAGACUCAUUGAUAACCUGCAAUUGCAACAAUCAACUAAAUGUUUUCAUCACUUAAUCGAUGUGCAACGACAACAAGUUUGGAAUUUCAUUUUUUUAACAAGUAUAUAAUAAGAAAACAAAAAGCUACCAUAUGGGUGAAUUUCAUCAUGGAUCUAUAUUCUUUCCAAGUAACUCCAGAUUCUUUAUCAGCUCUGUUUUGGAGGAUGAUCUAUAGUCAUGUUCGAGUAAGACAUUUAGGACAAUUUACUAAUAUCUAAAGUUUAACUCACAUAAUAGUAAUUAAUAAUUUAGUUUCAAAAAAAAAUUUACAUGAUUUAAGAGUAUUUAGAUAGAAUUGAUAAAUUGAGAUGAGAGUUAGAACAUUAAUACAGAAAAAAUUUGUGGAUUUUUAUUUAAAAUUUAAAUAUCAGGAAAAAAAUUUAAACAAUAAGAUGGAAUAUGUAGAAUUAAAAUUAUUAGCUCUUAUCCGUUAAGAUGGAGUUUAUCGAAGAAUUAAAAUAUUUCUUAUCAUGAAAUAAAUAGUUAAAUUGUAUUAGAUAGAAUUGAUAAAUUGAGAUGAGAGUUAGAACAUUAAUACAGAAAAAAUUUGUGGAUUUUUAUUUAAAAUUUAAAUAUCAGGAAAAAAAUUUAAAAAUAAGAUGGAAUAUGUAGAAUUAAAAUUAUUAGCUCUUAUCCGUUAAGAUGGAGUUUAUCGAAGAAUUAAAAUAUUUCUUAUCAUGAAAUAAAUAGUUAAAUUGUAUUGCAAAAUAGAAUGUGUCAGAUUGAAAUUUGGUUAAAAAAUUAGAUUAAGUAUAAAUAAAUGUAUAAUACUAUUUGUAUUUCAAAUAUUAUCAAAAAAUUAUAUUUAUUUUUUCACAUCCGCCUAUUUAGGCGGGUCUUAUCUAGUUCAAUAUACAUGGAACUGGCAGGAAUAGGUUGCCACAAGUUUGGCGAGAAUUGAGUUGGAGGCUCAUAAGAGUAAAUGGAAGCAAAUUUUGUACAAAUUUAUGGUAGUUUGUUUUAUAAAACACCAUAUUUUAUACAAAUAUUGUCCUUUUGAAUAAUAUUUAGAAUUGGAAGUUAGCUCUUAAUGAAAGCUUGUUUAUGGGAGCUUGUUUGAUAGAUGAUUCGGGAUCACAUAUGGCAAUCUUAUGUGGCUUUAGCCUUUAGGUCCCCAAAGUGGUUACAUAAUUUUUUGAAUCAAUUAUGAAUUUGCCAUUUUUUGAAUAAUCUUUGUUGAGUGUGCCAUUUUUUUGAAUAGUUUGUGGAUUUGCCAUUUUUCAAGCAACAAAAAAAUGAUUUAACAGUUAACAUUAGUAUUACUCUUUAUGUUUGGGUUUAGUCUAUUCUAUUUGUUUUUAGGGUUUAGUAUUUGGUAUAAAGUAUGUAUUUUGCACAAAAAAAGUAGUAAAUACAUAUAUUUGGUAUUUGGUAUAAAGUAUAGCAUUUUCGUAAGAUUUUCUAAAAAAAAAUGUAUUUUUUCUACAAGAAUCCCUAAUUUCUUUUUUUUUUUGGGUUUAUUUGAUCUCUCUUUCAGUGAAUUGGAAGUACACCAUCUUGGACUCGCUUAUUGCAUUAGUAUCUUUCUCUGCCGGCGGAUUGAUUCCGAUGCUCUGUGGCAUGCUUGUGAAACUUCGAAUUCUAAGGAUUGUGUUUCUGGUGAUUUCCUGUGAUUUUGUAAAAAUAACUACAAAACUAAAAAAAAAUUAUUUAUGAGUUAUAAUUUUUUUUGGUUAUUACAAAAAUCACCUUUUUAUUUAUGGGAAUUUGUGUGAAUAAUCCGAAAAAUAACUAAAAAUCUAACCAAUUAACCUAAAUCUAAUGGUCAUGAUUAUGCCACAUAUGCUAAUAUCAGUUAGUUGCUUAAUUAUUAUUACUAGAUUUACUCGUCCGCGCGUUGCGUGGGAUAUCAACUUUAAACUGGCAACAAUACAAAAUGUUAAAAAUAAUUAUAAUCAUUUGAAUUUCAAAACUAUACAUAUUCAUACUUGUUUUACAAAACAGUACACAACAUAAAAAUUAUCAAAAAUAUUUAGUAUAUACCACGUAAUAACAAAAGUAAUAUCAGAUGAAUUGGUCUCGGUAGUCAUCCAUGAACUUUUGUCAAAAAGAGAGUUUAUUCCAUAAUCAAAUCUUGUAAGUAUAUCUAUCUCGAAAUUUUAACAUAAUCAUACCCCAUAAUAAAAGUAAAUUUGCUGAGUUUGAAUAUCAAUUUUAUGAAAAUGUAUAAACGUAAUAUUCAUGCUGCUUCAAUAGAUUUGGAGAGCACAAUUUACCUAUUGAAGCAAGACAAUCAUGCAUUAAGAAAUUUUUUGAUAAAAUCAUGAAUGUCCUUAUCUUAUCUUAUCUAUCCUACAACACUUUAUUACAUGGUUCAAUGAUUUAACUCAAUGUUGAAUAUGAUAGUCUGGUUUACUAAAUCAAACUAUCCGAUAGUGCAUCAAUAUAUCCGAUGAAUUUACUUAAGUCAUGUGCAUACAUAUAUCCGAUGCUUCAAGCAUUAGUCAAUUCCUCUUCAAACAUUUUUUUCUAUCAUUUUUUCGUCAUCUUCUAUGAUGCACUUGUUUGCCUCCCAACAUCUACUCUUCUUUUAUCUUAUAUGCUCAUUUACAUAUAAUAAAACUUUGAAUUCAUUCUUAACUUAAAACUAUUUUCUCAUUUUCUUCUUCUUUUAAUUAUAUAAUUUUCAUGUUUGAGUGUAAUAUACUUUUACGGAAGAUAUAUAUUUAUGAAAAUUGUCUCAACACUUAUUUAAAUUUUUACCUAUAUUUAAAUAUUUUCACUUUUUUUUAUCUAGAAAGAAAACAAUAAUAUAAAUAUAACUAUAUUAUUUUAGUUGUUAUAUAUUUACUAUAAUUUAAUAUUAAGAUACAAUCAAUCUUUCUAUUUUUUCGUCAAUGUGAAUUUAUACUUUUACUUUCUUGAAAUAUAAUUUCCAAUUUUAAAAAUGAAUUAUUUCUUAUAUCUUAAGAAAACUUAUACAAUCAUAAGUUUACUAUAACAUUUAACCAUUUAUUUUUAAUCUAAAAAUAUACUAUUUUAAAUAGAUUUCUUCCACUUCAUUAUCAUCUCUUCAAGUUAAUGUUUCCAACAAAUAUGAAUAUCUUCUUAUUAUUAAAAAAAAACUCUUAUAGUCUUCCAUUUCAAUUCAAUUCAAUUCUUUUGUUCAUCCUAAAUUAUAUUUGAGGUCUCCUUAUUAAUCUCAAAAAAUGAUAGUUUUUAAACGUUUUUUAUUUUUUUAUUUUUAAUAAGUUAUUAUUUUUUGUAAUUGUAUAAUAAAUUUCAUUAAGAAUCAUUUUGCCCUCUUAAAUAACAUUGGUAUUUCUAUGAAAUUUGCAUUAUUAUUUUCUAAUUUCUUAAUUAUAUAUUUAGGGAUUAUGUUCAUUUUAAGUUAUAUAUUAGCAAAAUUUUAAUUUUAAGUGUUUUAUAUGUAUAUAUGUUACACUUGUGUUAUUAUUAUUCAAGUAACCUUUAUUUAAAAUUAUGCAUUAAUUGAAAAUUACUUGUAUAGUAAAUUUCAUUAAGAAUCAUUUUGCCCAUAUUAAAUAACAUUGGUAUUUCUAUGACUUUUCAUUAUUAUUUUUUAUUUUUUAAUUAUAUAUUUAGGGAUUAUGUUCAUUUUAAGUUAUAUAUUAGCAAAAAUUUAAUUUUAAGUGUUUUAUAUGUAUAUAUGUUACACUUGUGUUAUUAUUAUUCAAAUAACAAAUAACCUUUAUUUUAAAUUAUGCAUUAAUUGAAAAUUACUUCUUAGAUAAUUAGAUGUAAUUAACUAUAAAAUUAAAUAUUUUAAAAUAAUUAUUGGUGGGAUCCAUCAUAUUAAUUUGGUGAUGAUGUGGACACCCUAAGAGGAGAGAGAACUCUCAUAUUAUAUAUAUAGAUUGUAUAAUAAAUUUCAUUAAGAAUCAUUUUGCCCUCUUAAAUAACAUUGGUAUUUCUAUGAAAUUUGCAUUAUUAUUUUCUAAUUUCUUAAUUAUAUAUUUAGGGAUUAUGUUCAUUUUAAGUUAUAUAUUAGCAAAAAUUUAAUUUUAAGUGUUUUAUAUGUAUAUAUGUUACACUUGUGUUAUUAUUAUUCAAGUAACCUUUAUUUAAAAUUAUGCAUUAAUUGAAAAUUACUUGUAUAGUAAAUUUCAUUAAGAAUCAUUUUGCCCAUAUUAAAUAACAUUGGUAUUUCUAUGACUUUUCAUUAUUAUUUUUUAUUUGUUAAUUAUAUAUUUAGGGAUUAUGUUCAUUUUAAGUUAUAUAUUAGCAAAAAUUUAAUUUUAAGUGUUUUAUAUGUAUAUAUGUUACACUUGUGUUAUUAUUAUUCAAAUAACAAAUAACCUUUAUUUAAAAUUAUGCAUUAAUUGAAAAUUACUUCUUAGAUAAUUAGAUGUAAUUAACUAUAAAAUUAAAUAUUUUAAAAUAAUUAUUGGUGGGAUCCAUCAUAUUAAUUUGGUGAUGAUGUGGACACCCUAAGAGGAGAGAGAACUCUCCUAUUAUAUAUAUAAAUUUUCUUGGGUUAUUAUAAAAUAACCCUUUAUAUAUUACAUAAUAUAGUUUUUUUUUGUCACCCAAUUAUAUAGCUUUUUACAUAAUAUAAUCGGGCUGAUGAUAUGUGUUAAAAUUUAAAUUUAAUUAAGAAAAAAUAAAAUAAAAAAUGGAAAACUAACUGAAUAAUUAUCAAGUAAGUAACCAAAUAAUAAAAAGGCGAACCUGAUGCCUAAUGUUGUUGUCUACACAUCUCUUCUAAACGGGUAUAUGAUCAAAUGGAUAGAAGAUCUGAAAUGUUUGCUAUAUUCAAUGAGGCUACUGCUGACAACAUAAUGUACAGUGUUAUCAUUAGUGCUUUCCUUAAAGAAGGGCUGACGACAAAAGCAUUUGUGCUUGUAAGCUAAGUAUUUCAAACAUGCCAGGGUCUACUCGCUGUUUUUUUCUAAAAUGGGAGGCAGCUGAGAAGGUUAUGGUUCGACUAAAAUACGUUCCUGAUUCUUCGAGUGUGAAUAAAUGAUCGUUGCAUUUCCUCAAACCAAAUCAUGGAAGCCGAUGCUGCUACAUAAAGAUUUAAGACGGAAAGCCAAAAGCCAAAAGCAGAUAAAUUUCUUUUUCUUUGUGGCUAACAAGGAGACUGCAUGCUGGUUUUUACUUUGGACCUGAAGAUUAUUGUAGAAAGUAAUCGUGUCAAAAGGUAACACUGAUCCUAAUCCUCUCACUUUAACUGGGUAUAACCACACGAAUCUACUCGGUCUCAAUCUUGUGAUGGAUAAUAUUAAGGAUAUGGUGGAAUGGUUCUUUUAUAUUUGCUCACACUCACAGUGAUGUAUUUUAUGGUGUCAAAGAUUGCAGUUAGUGGUAGUAACAAGCAUUUGAUAAAUGGGAAGCUUGCACAACCUAGUCAAGUCCAGAAUCUUUUCCACUCUGUGCAGCUUAAUAAUGUCAACAAUCCACACUUUCUCAUCAUGCAAGGUAGAAUCACCAAAGUCUUAAACAUGAAACCUCCCGAGAUACUGUGGGUGCUGGAACAAGAAUGUAUGAAAACAAGAAAGAAAGAAUGUUCAACAGUAGAGGAAGAAGAAGAAGAAGAUGAGACAUGGAGGAGCGAGAUAGUAACAAGGGUGAUGAGAAUCGUGAGCAAGAGAUUGAUCUUUUUUACUCUGCUACCUUGAUGGUC